UCUUUCUGUGAAUAAACUUCAAGAUGGGUGUAACUGUUUUCUUGACAGGAUAAAAUUCGAUUAUUUUUUUUUGCCAUAUGAGAACUGAUUACAUUGACCAAUAAUGAGAGAAAUAACAAUCAGAAACAGAAUUCUUCUCAAAUUUAUUAGCUCUCAGAUGCAAGAUCUCAGUCCAGUUUCCAUCAUUUAACUGAAACAAAAGGCAAAGUUGCAUAAAAUAAACAGAUGAAAGCAGCUGAGAAUGGUGUGGUGUACAUUCUUUUUCUUUCAAAGUAAAAAAAAAAAAGACAAGUCAUAUAAUAACAUCUUAACAUGUAGUUCCAAACACAACAUUUCUCUAAUACAUAAAGUGACACUACAAAAUGUUAAACCACUCAAAGACAAAAAGAUGCACGCCAAUGAAUAUGGAGUGAAAUCCUGUGCGAAAUGUACAGACUUCAGCUAGACAAAGCUAUUCAGACUAAUGAACAUGUCUAUGCUUAAAAGCAGACAACAUACAUUCUAGAACAAUCCGAGAUUGGACUCGGAGACAGUUUAGUGCAUUUCUUUAAUGCAAAAAAAAACAAAAACCUUUUGGUCAAUUUCAUAGUCACUCCUGAUGAGUCCAAACAUGAUAAUCUGUAACGUUAAAAUGUAACGUUUUCUAAAGUAGGAUAUUUAUGUAAUUCUGUGCUAAAGGUGACAUAUGAAAUAAAAUCACAUACAAAAACAUGUUCACAAAUGCAUUCCAGUGUUUUGCAUCACAGUGUGACAGUGAAGAUCAUUUGGGAGAAGUUAUUUCUCUGCGUGAGAGUGUUUCAGCAUUUUUGUCACUGAAAACCAGAUGCAUCACCUAUGACUAGUUUCAUUAAAAUGUUACGACCUCAUUCCAACCAAACUAAUGGCACAGCACACGACUUGCAUAUGUAGUUUACAGUAACACUUAUUAUAUUAAUAAAUAAUUUCAUUUAUUUUAUAAUUUAGGGUUAAACUAAUCCAGUGAAAGAGACUCCAAAAAUAUUUUUUGUUAUUUACACGCAACUUCACACAUUUUGGGUAUCAAUCUUGAUUAAAAAUACAGUCUAUAAUGUAUAACAGGUGUUAUAAAUCUGUAACCCUGUUUCUGGACUUUAAAACUCCCCUGCUGUACAAAACAUACUGAUAUACACACACUUACGCAGGUUUAUUUCUUUUUUUGGUCCUAGGCAAAACAGCCCCCCCACAUACAAGAUAGGCAAAGUCCCUUUAAACAUGUGCACUUCAGAAAGUAACUGAUACUUUACUCUCAGGUAACAACACUAUAGUGAUAUAGAGAUGAAGUCUUCAACAUUUUACCCUUCGGUGUCCUGACCGAAUGAACAUACAGUAAAUUCACGCACACAAUGAAAGAAUGGAGAAAAGAGAGACAUUCCCAUAUCUCAGAAACCUUUCAGUGUUGGAUAUGAAUAGAAAUUUCUGGAUGCUUCCUUGGCUCAGGUUGAACGGUUUCAGGAGAGGUAGUGUUCCAGCUCCGAAUAAAGGCUUGGGAUAUGCACUCCUUUCCGGCAAAGAAUAUCUGGGAAGUGAUCAGCUCCAUACCAUCCUUCA